UCCCGGGUAGCUCAGUGGUAGAGUCGGCGGCUGUUAACCGCUUGGUCGGGGGUUCGAAUCCCUCCCCGGGAGCCA
rnacentral:tRNA from 2 species